rnacentral:rRNA from 1 species
CACGUAGGCACCAAGCGUUGUCCGGAUUUAUUGGGCGUAAAGAGCUCGUAGGCGGUUCGGUAAGUCGGGUGUGAAAACUUUGGGCUCAACCCAAAGCCUGCACUCGAUACUGCUGUGACUUGAGUCCGGUAGGGGAGUGGGGAAUUCCUGGUGUAGCGGUGGAAUGCGCAGAUAUCAGGAGGAACACCGGUGGCGAAGGCGCCACUCUGGGCCGGUACUGACGCUGAGGAGCGAAAGCGUGAGGAGCGAACAGG